rnacentral:rRNA from 1 species
GAAUCACGGACCAAGGAGUCUAGCAUGUGCGCGAGUCAUUGGGACAUAACGAAUCCUAAAGGCGCAAUGAAAGUGAAGGUCCGUUUCGCACGGACUUAGGGAAGAUGGGCGGUCCACAGUGACCACCUCGCACUCCCGGGGCGUCUCGUUCUCAUCGCGAGAAGAGGCGCACCAAGAGCGUACACGCUGGGACCCGAAAGAUGGUGAACUAUGCCUGGUCAGGACGAAGUCAGGGGAAACCCUGAUGGAGGUCCGUAGCGAUUCUGACGUGCAAAUCGAUCGUCGGAACUGGGUAUAGGGGCGAAAGACUAAUCGAACCAUCUAGUAGCUGGUUCCCUCCGAAGUUUCCCUCAGGAUAGCUGGCGCUCGUUGCGCACGAGUCUCAUCCGGUAAAGCGAAUGAUUAGAGGCAUUGGGGUCGAAACGGCCUCAACCUAUUCUCAAACUUUAAAUGGGUGAGAUCUCCGGCUUGCUCGAACUAUUGAAGCCGCGAGACACGGAUCAGAGUGCCAAGUGGGCCAUUUUUGGUAAGCAGAACUGGCGCUGUGGGAUGAACCAAACGCCGAGUUAAAGCGCCUAAAUCGACGCUUAUGGGAUACCAUGAAAGGCGUUGGUAACUUAAGACAGCAGGACGGUGGCCAUGGAAGUCGGAAUCCG